rnacentral:rRNA from 1 species
GAUGAACGCUGGCGGCGUGCCUAAUACAUGCAAGUCGAGCGAACAGACGAGGAGCUUGCUCCUCUGACGUUAGCGGCGGACGGGUGAGUAACACGUGGAUAACCUACCUAUAAGACUGGGAUAACUUCGGGAAACCGGAGCUAAUACCGGAUAAUAUAUUGAACCGCAUGGUUCAAUAGUGAAAGACGGUUUUGCUGUCACUUAUAGAUGGAUCCGCGCCGCAUUAGCUGGUUGGUAAGGUAACGGCUUACCAAGGCAACGAUGCGUAGCCGACCUGAGAGGGUGAUCGGCCACACUGGAACUGAGACACGGUCCAGACUCCUACGGGAGGCAGCAGUAGGGAAUCUUCCGCAAUGGGCGAAAGCCUGACGGAGCAACGCCGCGUGAGUGAUGAAGGUCUUCGGAUCGUAAAACUCUGUUAUUAGGGAAGAACAAAUGUGUAAGUAACUAUGCACGUCUUGACGGUACCUAAUCAGAAAGCCGCGGCUAACUACGUG